AUGGAGAAACCCUGUCUCAAAAAGACAAAAAAAAGUUCCUUUCCCCACCCUCUCUCGCUGCUUCAGCACCCUAAUUGUUCCGCCGUCACACCCUGGUUCCACCUGUCCCUUCUGCUCAUCUUGGCAUGGCCCACCCUUGAGAAGACUUGGCCUGGCCUUUGGGCAUGUCCCUCUGGGUCUUGGCGUACAGCUUGGCAUGGAGCCUCGCCUCCUCCACUCUGGCUGGGGCUGAGUUCUGAUUGCUGGGCCGACUUAAAACCGAUGACCAUGAGUGAGGUCUGGGCUUUUCCGAUGCUUAGAGAAAGGAACCCAUCCUCUGGGCCUGCCGGGGAGGAAGUCGGAAGUCCCGGCCUCAGCAGGAGUGAGGGAAGGACCCUUCUGCCUUGUGCCUCCCAAGCCCCCUACAGCCCUGGGGACCCAGGUGUCCUUGAUCUCUGCUCCAUGGUCCCGUGGCCAUUGUCCGGGUCUCUGUGUCCCCUCCUCUUACAAGGACACCAGUCAGAUCACUUUGUGAGGCCCCAGGAAGACGAACGGCUCCUGUCCACCGGGCAUCUUCCCACAAUACGGCCACCCGCCUGCUUUGGUGUUCGCUGGCCUACAGCAGCUGUGUAUGUCCCACCCAGUGCUACCGACGCCGGCUCUGCUCACCUGACUGUGGCCUGUGUUCAGGCUCCUGUGGGAGAAGCACCAGCUGCGGGCUUACCUCUUGGGGUCUCCUUCCCCUGGGAUCCGUCUGGACUCAGCCUGGGACACUGCCCUUGGCCGUUUCCCAGCUUCCGCAGUUGUCCUGAACGCACAGUUUGCCAAUUUGUCUUCAUGGAGAGAAACAGAAGUCUCACCGGGCAUUUCUUUCUCCCAGGCUCACGUCCGCAGAGCACAGGGGACCGGCUCAGGGGCCUUCCUGUCGGUUUACACGAGGUCGAGGUCAGGCUAAGGGAAGUGCUUCAGCACUGCGUGACCUCGGGGAGCCCCACCUACUGUAGAGUCCUGCGGCGCCUGUUUCUUCCCAUGGCUUGUUUCCUUCCUCGGAUUCAUUUGAAAGUUAUAUUUGUAAUCCCCUUGAGACGUGAUUGGAAUCCCGGCAAGUUAAUUCCAAUCCACCACCUCCAAUACAACCCACGGCGAGAGUAAAGACACCAAGACAGAUUCCAACUUAAGAACAGCCAAGGGGUCCUGAGUCCAAUCUCCGUGAGGGUGUGCAGAGAGGCCCUGAUCCUAGGCCUCUCCCAGCAUUCCUUAUCUUGUGAAGAAGGGGCGUGGCUCCAGGAUGAGUGACAGUGAGGAUGGUGGGAAUCACGUGAGUAACCUGAACUGGCUUGGCAGGUGGAGAGAAAAGCAUCUUUGCAAAAUGCAGGGAGAAUGACAUGCAAAAGGAUCAGUCUGCAUAAUACAAUUCAGGUAGAAAUUGAAUUGUUGUUGGAUGCUGAUGCUUCAGUUACUAAUAUGUAAACGUUUUUUUUUUCUUUUUUCUUUUUUUUUUUUUUUUUUUUUUUUUGGUCUUUUUCGUUUUUAUCGGUACCAGGGAUCGAACUCAGGACUGCCUGCUUGCAAGGCAGGCGCUUAUGCCGCUGAGCUAAAUCCCCAGCCCCACUAAUAUGUAAACUUUUGUUCCCUGGGGACUCAGAGCCUCUUACUUUGAGUCUGGCACCCAGCUGACAUUUCUGGAGCUGACUGGCUCUGCCAUCCCUUGUGUGUGGAUCUUUUACAGACAGCACUAUGCGAGGAACAGGAGGCUGUCAGACUGACUUCAAAGAUUACCCAUCAGUACUUCAGCCGGCCUUACUUGCAUUGCUUAGAGCCAGUUGAAGAGAAGAAAUACCAGCGCCAGCCCUGUACAUAUCAGUAUAUGGAAAUAAGACUCCAUUUAACCAGUGUUGUAGCAGCUGUUCUGCAAGCAAGCAGAGGAGCUUGUGUCGUCUUCUACAACCAUCACUGUUGGAUUCCAUCACUGAUGAAGCUGACAUCUGCUGGCAUUCCCUGCUGUGCAUUUGCUCCAGUUCCCUUUGCAGAUGGCGAGUGUUUCUGUGGGGACUUUGAGACUCAUGCAAACACCAUUCCUCAUAGACACUACCGAAGGUAGGGUCUGUGUAUCACCCCUCCCUCCCCUUCCUGCCCUCCUUCUCCCCCUUCCUUCCCCUCCCGCCCUCCCUUUGUAUCACCUGGUUUUCUUCCCACUUGGCGAAGCCAGUCUUCAGGUACCUUCUCAGAAGGGACGUCUCGGGGACGCAGGUCUGAGCCUGCGUGACAGUGUCUCCCUUGGGAAGAAGGAGGCACCACUCCUUCUUGAAUGGCUACUUGGGUUAGUUACACAGCUCUAGAGUAGGAGACUCUUUGCAGCCUUUGUUUUACUGUCUCCCAGUGUCCUGUGCUGCUGUUGAAAAGCUGCUGUUAUUCCAACUUAUAAAAUCUCCUCUGAAAUAUUUUAAAACUUGUUUCUAGAAAGUUUUUUGGUGGGAAAAGUGUCUCCCAUUUUGGUGCUGGGCACUCUCUGACCUGGUCAGUCUGGAAAAGCUUGCUCCUCAGUGGUUGCAGUGUGGGUUCUUUUUCCUUUAGUAAUCUAUUCUCUGAAGAAAAUGUGGCAUAUGUACAUUGUGGAGUACUAGUCAGCCAUAAAAAAGACAAAUUUGAGUCAUGUAGGAAAGUGGGUGCACCUUGAGACCAUAGGUUAAAUAGUAUGUGAGUUUUCUUAUACAGUAAGAGAAACCCAAAGUAUAAAUAAUUUAAGUAACAAAAUAAAAGACAGAUGGUAGGAAACAGGAAGAGAGACCUUUUGGAGAAGAGAAAGGUAUCUAGGGAUGGAGAGAUAGGGGAGGGAAGUAAAAAAACUGAGAUGUGAUACAUAUGUGUACCAACUUCCCACUGAUGAAUGUGUUCACUUUGUACCAUAAUCAUGUACUAAUAAAAAUUGUUAAACUUAAC
rnacentral:lncRNA from 1 species